CUGACUGAGAUCGUGUCAGGUCUCUCAGUGGUUUCUCUGACAAGCACCUGAGGCACUGCAACCUCCCAUUGAUAAGAGGGCGCUCCCCCCGGUACUGUGCUGGGAUUAAAUGCAGGCCAAUAGUCGUUGAAUUAUGAGGGCAAGGAUCACUAAGGUUAUUGGAACGGCAUCUGAAGCCCCACUGUCCGGCUUCUAAUCCUGUCUUCACCGCGUCCUUCGAUUCGGUGGCAGCAGUGGGACUGAAGGAGACUUCUGAUGGCUUCAGGGACAAUGAGAAACACAGGAGUGAUACCUUGUGAACCCCUUGAGUUCUCUUUCUCGCCAUUUCCGAGGGCCGUGGAAAUUGUACUACAAAAGGUGUAUUGGAUGAAGAGGUGAUCAAAAGACAUGCAACCAAAAAAUAUAGGAAAAAGGUAUAUAUUUAAAGUGAUGAAAGGGAAGAA